AACUGGUUACCAAUGUCGCCUUGUCGAAUAACGAUGCUACCGGCUUGAUACACGACUGUCUGAAGAGCAUCGGCAAUUUUUUGUCGUUGAUAUUUGUCAAGGCUUGAGAGAAUGGGAACUUCUUCAAGGAGGCUUUCAUACAGCAUCCUCUGGCGAUAUGCGUUUUCAAAUACGAUACGACGGAAACUUGUACGAUCUAAUGCGUAAAUUACAUUAUUUGGUGUUUUGGAGACCACCGAUGCAGCUCGUGGAGCAUUAUACAUGAGUGCCAACUCUCCAAAAUAUUCACCGGGAGAAAUCGUAGUUAUGUAGUUACCAUAACCACUCGAAAGCACUUCUUCAGGGGUAAUAUUUAGUUCGGGCCUUUUGUAUACAUCGAAUUCACCUUGCUCCACAAUAUAAAAGUAAUCUCCAACUGCUCCUUGGACAAUGACAGCAACAC